UUUUGUACUGCUCUUUAGCCUCACUUACCAUUCAAUCAAGGUUUCCGUAGGUGAACCUG
rnacentral:rRNA from 1 species